CCUAUGGAGGCAGCAGUGGGGAAUAUUGGACAAUGGGGAAAACCCUGAUCCAGCAAUGCCGCGUGUGUGAAGAAGGCCUGCGGGUUGUAAAGCACUUUCGGUUGGGAGGACUGCUUCUAGCACUAAUAUUGUUGGAAGUUGACGUUACCUUCAGAAGAAGCACCGGCUAACUCCGUGCCAGCAGCCGCGGUAAUACGGAGGGCGCAAGCGUUAAUCGGAAUUACUGGGCGUAAAGCGCGCGUAGGCGGCUAGAUCAGUCGGGUGUGAAAGCCCCGGGCUUAACCUGGGAACUGCAUCCGAUACUGUCUAGCUUGAGUACAGGAGAGGAGAGUGGAAUUCCACAUGUAGCGGUGAAAUGCGUAGAUAUGUGGAGGAACACCAAUGGCGAAGGCAGCUCUCUGGCCUGAUACUGACGCUGAGGUGCGAAAGCGUGGGGAGCAAACAGGAUUAGAUACCCUCGUAGUC
rnacentral:rRNA from 1 species